rnacentral:rRNA from 1 species
AUUGAACGCUGGCGGCAGGCCUAACACAUGCAAGUCGAAUGGUAACAGGAAACAGCUUGCUGUUUCGCUGACGAGUGGCGGACGGGUGAGUAAUGUCUGGGAAACUGCCUGAUGGAGGGGGAUAACUACUGGAAACGGUAGCUAAUACCGCAUAACGUCGCAAGACCAGAGAGGGGGACCUUCGGGCCUCUUGCCAUCAGAUGUGCCCAGAUGGGAUUAGCUAGUAGGUGGGGUAACGGCUCACCUAGGCGACGAUCCCUAGCUGGUCUGAGAGGAUGACCAGCCACACUGGAACUGAGACACGGUCCAGACCCCUACGGGAGGCAGCAGUGGGGAAUAUUGCACAAUGGGCGCAAGCCUGAUGCAGCCAUGCCGCGUGUAUGAAGAAGGCCUUCGGGUUGUAAAGUACUUUCAGCGGGGAGGAAGGGAGUAAAGUUAAUACCUUUGCUCAUUGACGUUACCCGCAGAAGAAGCACCGGCUAACUCCGUG